ACCACGUCCAUCUGCGUGAGCGCUUUCCCGUAAAUGGCUGCGGUGAAUUUGGGCUCCUGCUGGUGGAGAUCCUCGUCGAAAAGCGGGACCCCCGUGGACAUGUCCCGCACGGGCUCGUGCUUGAGACGGCCCAGCAUACAGCAGGAAGAAGAGAAGGGAGUGGACGUGCUGGGGCUCGGAAACAUCGCCAACGACUAUUAAACUGUCAUGUGGAGGCAACAAGAAGACAUAGCCCUUGCAUCACAGCAUACAAAAACCUUGAUGGAAUUUGCCUUCACCGAGACGUCUAAUGGGCUCCCCCUCCGUGACCGAGAGAACGCCGAGAGAAUUACCUUAUUUUUGUCACGUAAAAGCGCUGUCCAGACUUAUGAUGAU